rnacentral:rRNA from 1 species
AGUGAAUAGAUACCCUGGUAGUCCCAGCCGUAAACGAUGCUCGCUAGGUGUCAGGCAUGGCGCGACCGUGUCUGGUGCCGCAGGGAAGCCGUGAAGCGAGCCACCUGGGAAGUACGGCCGCAAGGCUGAAAACUUAAAGGAAUUGGCGGGGAGCACAACAACGGGUGGAGCCUGCGGUUUAAUUGGACUCAACGCCGGACAACUCACCGGGGGCGACAGCAAUAUGUAGGCCAAGCUGAAGACUUUGCCUGAAUCGCUGAGAGGAGGUGCAUGGCCGUCGCCAGUUCGUACUGUGAAGCAUCCUGUUAAGUCAGGCAACGAGCGAGACCCGUGCCCACUGUUACCAGCAUGUCCUCGGUAC